rnacentral:lncRNA from 1 species
UAAGGAAACUCAGGGAAAUUAAGCAACUUCUCGGAGGUCACAAUCUCACUUCCUGAUGGAUCCCAAAUCCUAGAGACAAUUAGUUUAGAGAGCUAGGAUUAACAGAAUUCCACUUACAGGGCCAGGUCCUCAAUUUUUGCAGUAAUUUAGUCGCUAUGGCAUAUUCUCAAGAAGCUAUUGGAGAUAGGCUCCAUAAAACAAGAAAGAGGAAGACAGAGAAUCCAGGAAACUGGGCAUCAACUCAGGAGAGACAGGAAGGAGGCAACCAGGAUGACAACUUCAAAGCAAGUCAAAGAGCAGCAAGCUCAGAUUGAGACAGCAAAAUGGUUGAGCAGAUACCUCACCAAAGAACAUUUUCACACCAGUUGCAAGACUGAGCUUGGAACCAGGAACAAGAUUAUUACUCUUUGCUAAUCUUGGCCAGGAUCUGCAGGAGGGUACCUCAAAGAAGAGUAAAAUGUGAAAGAGAUAAAAUGAGAGAACUGCUACAAAAAGAAACCAGAAUUUGAUGAUUUGGGAAUUUCUCAGCCUAUCCAGAUUGCAGAAGAUGCUAAAGCUAAGAGACCCAC